rnacentral:siRNA from 1 species
UCGAGCAGCUUCUGGUGUCGAU